UACAGAGGGGGCAAGCGUUGUUCGGAAUUACUGGGCGUAAAGGGCGCGUAGGCGGCCUGCUAAGUCGAACGUGAAAUCCCCGAGCUCAACUCGGGAACUGCGUCCGAUACUGGCAGGCUUGAAUCCGGGAGAGGGAUGCGGAAUUCCGGGUGUAGCGGUGGAAUGCGUAGAGAUCCGGAAGAACACCGGAGGCGAAGGCGGCUUGCUGGGCGUGAUCUGACGCUGAGGCGCGAAAGCGUGGGGAGCGAACAGG
rnacentral:rRNA from 1 species